AAUAAAGGCAGCUUGCUUUGUGGAAAAUCAUACUAAUAUUCUUGAGGCCCCCAAAUAGCGAGUGAAAAAGAGUAGUAGGAAAUUUCACUUUGUAUAUUAGCAAUUUAGCAUCCUUAAUCCAAGCACGCCUUAUGAUUUUGAUUAAAUGUGACAAGGAAUGGUCUAUUUGUAUACUACUUAAUACUAGUAUCUAGCAAUAUCUUGGUGAGUAUUUUGACUGCCUUCUGUUUUUGUUCCUAGCAUUUAAUUUUAGCCAUCUAACGUUCUUGCUGUUGUAUUACCUAACUUUUCCAACAUAAAUGUAAAUUGACCCCACAUUAGGCUAAUGGAUUUUAAGUGGGAGACAAAGGGAUAAGAUAAGCCCCAGAUGACUAUACUAUGCGCUGUCUUUUGUACCUCCAGUCAGAACAUCGCCUAGAUCUCAUAUUAAUUGGUGCAUGCAAGUAAGUAUUCAUGAACUACUAGUGUACUUCUCUAUUUGGGGUUUGUACAAAUUUUCCUAGUCAAUUUUUUUUCCUUCAUUGAGUUUCAAUCAUUGGAUCAGUUGAUCGAAUGGGAGAGUUAGAUAAACUAUUUCAGUAAAAAUUUUGUCCACUUGUUAUUAAUUUUUUUUAGACUAGAGUCUAGAGUGGUGGUAGGUUUGAGCCUCACUCUCGGGUUGGGGGUUUGGUGAACCAUCCCCAUCCAGUAGUUCAAACCGCUUUAUUUGUUGUGGGUGAACUUGAACUGAAUACGAUAGUGUUCUUAGUUGUGUUACCUUUGAAUCGAGUCUCGUGAACAUCCAUCCAGAAGAGAGCUCUGAAGAUGAAACUGACAUGUAGUACUUUCUUC
rnacentral:lncRNA from 1 species